rnacentral:rRNA from 1 species
UACGGGGGGGGCAAGCGUUGUUCGGAAUUACUGGGCGUAAAGGGCUCGUAGGUGGCCAACUAAGUCAGACGUGAAAUCCCUCAGCUUAACUGGGGAACUGCGUCUGAUACUGGAUGGCUUGAGUUUGGGAGAGGGAUGCGGAAUUCCAGGUGUAGCGGUGAAAUGCGUAGAUAUCUGGAGGAACACCGAUGGCGAAGGCAGGUCUCUGGGCCACUACUGACGCUGAGAAGCGAAAGCAUGGGGAGCGAACAGG